rnacentral:rRNA from 1 species
GGUAACCCUACCUAUAAGACUGGGAUAACUUCGGGAAACCGGAGCUAAUACCGGAUAAUAUUUCGAACCGCAUGGUUCGAUAGUGAAAGGUGGUUUUGCUAUCACUUAUAGAUGGACCCGCGCCGUAUUAGCUAGUUGGUAAGGUAACGGCUUACCAAGGCGACGAUACGUAGCCGACCUGAGAGGGUGAUCGGCCACACUGGAACUGAGACACGGUCCAGACUCCUACGGGAGGCAGCAGGC